rnacentral:rRNA from 1 species
AUAUCAAUAAGCGGAGGAAAAGAAACCAACAGGGAUUGCCCUAGUAACGGCGAGUGAAGCGGCAACAGCUCAGAUUUGAAAUCCGGCCCUUGGGCCCGACUUGUAGUCUGCAGAUGGGUCUUCGGGCGACCCACCACCUAGGUCCCCUGGGAGGGGGCGCCACAGAGGGUGAGAGCCCCGUACAGGUGGAUGGUUAGCCUAUGUGAAGCCCAUUCGACGAGUCGAGUAGUUUGGGAAUGCUGCUCAAAAUGGGAGGUAAAUUUCUUCUAAAGCUAAAUACCGGCCAGAGACCGAUAGCGCACAAGUA